rnacentral:rRNA from 1 species
GAACGAGAAAGUGGAGCAAUCCAUGAGUAAAGUGGCGACCGGGUGAGUAACACGUGACUAACCUACCUCCGAAUGGGGAAUAACUCCGGGAAACCGGGGCUAAUACCGCAUAACACCGCAAGGUCAAAGCAGCAAUGCGUUUGGAGAGGGGGUCGCGGCUGAUUAGCUAGUUGGCGGGGUAACGGCCCACCAAGGCGAAGAUCGGUAUCCGGCCUGAGAGGGCGACCGGCCACACUGGGACUGAGACACGGCCCAGACUCCUACGGGAGGCAGCAGUGGGGAAUAUUGCGCAAUGGGCGAAAGCCUGACGCAGCAACGCCGCGUGGGGGAUGAAAGCCUUCGGGUCGUAAACCCCUUUCAGCAGGGACGAAGCGAGAGUGACGGUACCUGCAGAAGAAGCGCCGGCUAACUACGUG